CCUACGGGUGGCAGCAGUGGGGAAUAUUUCACAAUGGAGGGAACUCUGAUGCAGCGACGCCGCGUGCGGGAUGAAGGCCUUCGUUAUGUAAAGCUCUAUCAGCAGGGAAGAAAGUGACGGUACCUGAUCAAGAAGCUCCGGCUAAAUACGUGCCAGCAGCCGCGGUCAUACGUAUGGAGCAAGCGUUAUCCGGAUUUACUGGGUGUAAAGUGAGAGAAGGUGGCAAAGCAAGUCCGAGGUGAAAACCCAAAGCUCAACUAUGGGAAUGCUUUAGAAACUGCUAAGCUAGAGUGCAGGAGAGGUAAGUGGAAUUCUUAGUGUAGGGGUGAAAUGCGUAGAUAUUAGGAGGAACACCAGUGGCGAAGGCGGCUUGCUGGAAUGUAACUGACACUGAGGCGCGAAAGCGUGGGGAGCAAACAGGAUUAGAUACCCUUGUAGUC
rnacentral:rRNA from 1 species